rnacentral:rRNA from 1 species
GACGAACGCUGGCGGCGUGCCUAACACAUGCAAGUCGAACGGAAAGGCCCGGCUCUUGCUGGGCGCGCGUGUGGCGCACAGGGGUGUGUCACGCGUGUAUCCCCUGCCUUACUGCGGGGUAUCAUUAGGAGACACGGGCUCUUAUCCGACAUAAGCUUCUGCUGCAUGUUGGGGGUAGGAAAGUUUCGGCGGUUCUGGAUGGAAGCGCGGACUUUCAUCUUGUUGGUGAGGUAGUGGCUUACCAACGCUCUGACGGGUAGCCGGCCUGGGAGGGUGACCGGCCACAUUGGGCCUGAGGUACGGCCAAGACUCCAACGGGAGGCAGGAGUGGGGAAUAUUGCGAAAUGGGCCGAAGCCUGAAGGAGGAACGCCGCGUGCGGGAUGACGGCCGUCGGGUUAUAAACCGCGUGCGAGUGUAACGAUGACUGAGUGACGGUAAUGGAUAAGAAAGCAACGGCUAACUACGUG